GACGAACGCUGGCGGCGUGCUUAACACAUGCAAGUCGAGCGGUAAGGCCCUUUCGGGGGUACACGAGCGGCGAACGGGUGAGUAACACGUGGGUGACCUGCCCUCAGCUCUGGGAUAAGCCUGGGAAACCGGGUCUAAUACCGGAUAUGACUCCAUGACGCAUGUUGUGGGGUGGAAAGCCUUGUGCGGCUGAGGAUGGGGCCCGCGGCCUAUCAGCUUGUUGGUGGGGUGAUGGCCUACCAAGGCGACGACGGGUAGCCGGCCUGAGAGGGCGACCGGCCACACUGGGACUGAGACACGGCCCAGACUCCUACGGGAGGCAGCGAGUGGGGAAUCUUGCGCAAUGGGCGAAAGCCUGACGCAGCGACGCCGCGUGAGGGAUGACGGCCU
rnacentral:rRNA from 1 species